AAUCAACGCUGGCGGCGUGCCUCAGACAUGCAAGUCGAACGCGAAAGUUCCCUUCGGGGAGCAAGUAGAGUGGCGCACGGGUGAGUAACACAUAGGUAAUUUGCCUUCGGGUGGGGAAUAACAGUCGGAAACGACUGCUAAUACCGCAUAAUGCAGCGGCUCGACAUCGAGACAGUUGUUAAAGCGGGGGAGUCCUUCGGGACCGUCGCGCCUGAAGAGAAGCCUGCGGCAGAUUAGCUAGUUGGUGAGGUAAUGGCCCACCAAGGCUACGAUCUGUAACCGGCCUGAGAGGGCGGUCGGUCACACUGACACUGACAUACGGGUCAGACUCCUACGGGAGGCAGCAGUCGGGAAUUUUGGGCAAUGGGCGCAAGCC
rnacentral:rRNA from 1 species